GGCUAUAGGAUCCUGAGAACACCAACCUGGAUGAUUGGCGACCGGUUGAAAAACAAGCACAUCGCAAUAUGUACGUAUUGUGAAGCCGCACUGAAGAUGUUGGGCAUUCUUUUGAUCGCCUUGAAUAUCGUUCAAGAUUGUAGAAACUGAUUGAACUCUGGGACUUUUCUGAGUUCGGUAUCUUCCUUGGGGGAAGGGGGGAUGAAGUGUCAGGUAGCCGCGAGACACACCUAACUUUUCCCGUCAGAACUAGACAAACAUACUGCGAAGUUUAUCCUGUCGAAAAGCAAUAAAGAGCAUAGUAUUGCGGAUAUUCUGGUUGUUCAGAAUUCUAAAACGUCCGUAUCCAUCCCGCGAUGAGGAAGCGAAAUCCAUUUCCUAUGUGCAUGCCCCGCUUAUGGACGCAUCGGGUAGCAGGUUUUUGAUGCUGCCGAGUAGUAUCUCACCCCAAAAUCUAUGUCAACCAUUCCUGGUUUCGCCUACGUAAUGUAAGGCGUAAUAAGGCGAAUGUGGGUCGGAUAUAGCAAAGAUAAUUACAACCAAAUUCACUAUGUCUCCUUUUUAAUUUGGGCACCGAUUGAACAGUAUUGGCACUUUCAACAAAGAAAGUGUGUAGCAAAUACACUGGAUGCUACCUUCUUUGGCAAGCAGAAAUUUGACAGCUGAAAAUAUUUAUAAACCGUCCCGCUGAGAUGCCAGGGUCAUAAUAAUUAAAUAAAAAGAAUUAUUUUUUUCAA